CGUGCCGCCUGAACUCAUCAUCAGUGGCAGAUUCCAUGCCGUCUCUACAAACGUCUGGGCUCUUGGAGUCUUGUUGUAUGAGAUGAUGAACGUGUGUCCUCCAUUUCGUGAUAUAAAGGAAAUCAUGGAAGCCGAAGUUAGGUUUGCAAACCCACAUUUAUCCAAAGAAUGCCGUGAUGUGAUUGUCCAGUGCCUAGCCCGUGACCCUACUGAAAGGCCGACCUUGGAGCAGCUCUUGCAGCAUGACUGGUUUAAAACAAAAAAAUGAAGGGAGGAUUGAGUCAGAGGGCUGAAACAUCGGAGUGAUCAGUAUGUGUCCGGUCUGCUGCGCUGGAAGGGGAUGUUAUCAGAGCGACAGACGAGAGAAGUGCUGGAUAUGAGCCGG